UGGGGAAUAUUGGGCAAUGGAGGAAACUCUGACCCAGCGACGCCGCGUGCGGGAUGAAGGCCUUCGGGUUGUAAACCGCUUUCAGCAGGGAAUAAGCGCAAGUGAAGGUACCUGCAGAAGAAGCACCGGCUAACUAUGUGCCAGCAGCCGCGGUAAUACAUAGGGUGCAAGCGUUGUCCGGAAUUAUUGGGCGUAAAGAGCUCGUAGGUGGUUUGUUACGUCGGUUGUGAAAUUCAGGGGCUCAACCCCUGACUUGCAGCCGAUACGGGCAAGCUAGAGUUUGGUAGGGGAGACCGGAAUUCCUGGUGUAGCGGUGGAAUGCGCAGAUAUCAGGAGGAACACCGAUGGCGAAGGCAGGUCUCUGGGCCAAUACUGACACUGAGGAGCGAAAGCGUGGGGAGCGAACAGGAUUAGAUACCCUGGUAGUCCACGCCGUAAACGGUGGGCGCUAGUUGUGCGAACCUUCCACGGUUUGUGCGACGCAGCUAACGCAUUAAGCGCCCCGCCUGGGGAGUACGAUCGCAAGAUUA
rnacentral:rRNA from 1 species